rnacentral:rRNA from 1 species
ACGGGAGGCAGCAGUGGGGAAUAUUGGGCAAUGGGCGAAAGCCUGACCCAGCAACGCCGCGUGAAGGAAGAAGGUCUUCGGAUUGUAAACUUCUUUUAUGAGGGACGAAGGACGUGACGGUACCUCAUGAAUAAGCCACGGCUAACUACGUGCCAGCAGCCGCGGUAAUACGUAGGGAGCAAGCGUUAUCCGGAAUUACUGGGUGUAAAGGGAGUGUAGGCGGGACUGUAAGUCAGAUGUGAAAUAUGCCGGCUCAACUGGCAGACUGCAUUUGAAACUGCGGUUCUUGAGUGAAGUAGAGGUAAGCGGAAUUCCUAGUGUAGCGGUGAAAUGCGUAGAUAUUAGGAGGAACAUCAGUGGCGAAGGCGGCUUACUGGGCUUUAACUGACGCUGAGGCUCGAAAGCGUGGGGAGCAAACAGGAUUAGAUACCCUGGUA